rnacentral:rRNA from 1 species
AUGACGCCAUCUGGUAUCAGGUUUGAGGUGGAGAAGUUCAACGUAACUGGAAGCUUUGGGUUAUGGCAGACAAGGGUGAAAGAUUUGUUGGCACAACAGGGAUGCUUGAAGGCAUUGUUGCAGGAAGCCAAGCCAGCUAAGAUGGAGGCGGAUGACUGGGAGGAGUUACAGUUGAAAGCAGCCGGGACUAUACGGUUGUGUCUGUCAGACCAGGUUAUUUAUCAUGUGAUGGAUGAGAAUUCGCCGAAGAAGAUCUGGGAGAAGCUGGAAAGUCAGUUUAUGUCCAAGACUGCGACGACCAAGGUGUAUCUGAAGCAAAAGUUGUAUGGGAUGAGGAUGCACGAGGGGUAA